rnacentral:rRNA from 1 species
CCAAUAGCGUAUAUUAAAGUUGUUGCAGUUAAAAAGCUCGUAGUUGAAUUUCGGGGUUAGUAGGUUGGUCAUGCCUCUGGUAUGUACUGGUCUCACUGAUUCCUCCUUCCUGAUGAACCUUAAUGCCAUUAAUUUGGUGUUUUGGGGAAUUUGGACUGUUACUUUGAAAAAAUUAGAGUGUUUAAAGCAAGCUAACGCUUGAAUACAUUAGCAUGGAAUAAUGAAAUAGGACGUUCGAUCCUAUUUUGUUGGUUUCUAGGAUUGACGUAAUGAUUAAUAGGGAUAGUUGGGGGCAUUAGUAUUCAAUUGUCAGAGGUGAAAUUCUUGGAUUUAUUGAAGACUAACUACUGCGAAAGCAUUUGCCAAGGAUGUUUUCAUUAAUCAAGAACGAAAGUUAGGGGAUCGAAGACGAUCAGAUACCGUCGUAGUCUUAGCCAUAAACUAUGCCGACUAGGGAUCGGAUGAUGUUAAUUUUUUAAUGACUCAUUCGGCGCCUUACG